rnacentral:rRNA from 1 species
ACCUGACCUCAAAUCGGGUGA